AUGAACGCUGGCGGCGUGCCCUAAUACAUGCAAGUCGAACGAGAUAAGUCCUUCGGGACGAGUACAGUGGCGCACGGGUGAGUAAUAGAUAGGAACGUACUUUUUGGAGGGGAACAACCAAGGGAAACCUUGGCUAAUACCGCAUAACAUCGAAAGAUUAAAGGUGGCCUCUAUUCAUAAGCUAUCACCAAAAAAGCGGCCUAUCUCCCAUUAGCUAGUUGGUAAGGUAAUGGCUUACCAAGGGCAACGAUGGGUAGCUGGUCUGAGAGGAUGUCCAGCCACACUGGAACUGAGACACGGUCCAGAACUCCUACGGGAGGCAGCAGUAGGGAAUAUUGCACAAUGGGCGCAAGCCUGAUGCAGCAACGCCGCGUGAGUGAAGAAGGCCUUCGGGUUGUAAAGCUCUUUCGGCCCGGGAAGAAGGGUGAUUGCACAAAUAGUGCCGUCAUUUGACUGUACCGGAAGAAGAAGCACCGGCUAACUCCGUGCCAGCAGCCGCGGUAAUACGGGGGGUGCAAGCGUUAUUCGGAAUUACUGGGCGUAAAGCGCACGUAGGCGGAUCUGUAAGUCAAUUGUGAAAGCCCUGGGCUUAACCUGGGAAUGGCAGUUGAAACUGCAGACCUUGAAUACCUGAGAGGAUGACAGAAUUCCUGGUGUAGUAGUGAAAUACGUAGAUAUCAGGAGGAAUACCCGAGGCGAAGGCGGUUAUCUGGCAGUGUAUUGACGCUGAGGUGCGAAAGCGUGGGGAGCAAACAGGAUUAGAUACCCUGGUAGUCCACGCCAUAAACGAUGGAUACUAGGUGCUCGAGGUGUUAACCCCCUUGAGUACCGUAGCUAACGCAUUAAGUAUCCCGCCUGGGGGAGUACGGCCGCAAGGCUAAAACUCAAAGGAAGUGACGGGGGCCCGCACAAGCGGUGGAGUAUGUGGUUCAAUUCGACGCAAACGCGCAGAACCUUACCUGGGCUUAACAUCCCUUGGACAGCCGUAGAGAUACGGUUUUGACUUCGGUCACAAGGAGAUAGGUGCUGCAUGGCUGUCGUCAGCUCGUGUCCGUAAGAUGUUGGGUUAAGUCCCGCAACGAGCGCAACCCCUAUCCUUAGUUACCACCAUUUAGUUGGGGACUCUAGGGAGACUGCCGGUGUUAACACGGAGGAAGGCGGGGAUGACGGUCAAGUCCUCAUGGCCCUUACGUCCAGGGCUACACACGUACUACAAUGGCAAAGACAAAGUGAUGCAGAACCGCGAGGUGAAGCUAAUCGCAAAAACAUUGUCCUCAGUCCGGAUUGGAGUCUGCAACUCGACUCCAUGAAGUUGGAAUCGCUAGUAAAUCGCAGAUCAGCACGCUGCGGUGAAUACGUUCCCGGGCCUUGUACACACAGCCCGUCACACCACGAAACGUGGUCAUAACCAGAAGUGAAUGAGCUAACUUCGGAGGCAGUUCACCAAGGUUAAAGGCCGUGAUUGGGUGG
rnacentral:rRNA from 1 species